CAAAGAUGGGAAUUACUGGCUGACGUGGACAAGCUAUCAUAAGCUUUUGAAAAGACAGGUGACUGGUUAUGCCUGUGGUUGGUCUGACUUUGGAUGGCAGGAAGUAAGGCAAAAGGAGAAAGACUUCAGGGCAAAGUAUUCUCUUGGGAUCUGUUCCUCAUCAAUAAAAGUGCUACUUUGCACAUCACUUUUCUCAGGGUCAUAUUCAACUUAUCAUUGCCAAGACCAAUGUCAAGAAGACCUUCUCAGCUGGACAUGGUGGCUCAUGCCUGUAAUCCUAGCACUCUGAGAGGCUAAGGCAGAUGGAUCACCUGAGGUUAGGACUCUGAGACCAGCCUGGCCAAGAUGGGGAAAGUCCAUCUCUACUAAAAAUGCAAAAUUAGCCAAGUGUGGUGGUGCAUGCCUAUAAUCUCAGAUACUUGGGAGGCUGAGGCAGGAGAAUUGCUUGAACCCAGGAGGUGGAGGUUGCAGUGAGCCAAGAUGGCGCCAUUGUACUCCAGUCUGGGCAACAAGAGUGAAACUAUCUCAAACACAAAACAACAACAACAACAACAAAACAACCUUUAUCUUAUGUUUUCUUCUAGGAGUUUUACAGUUUUACAGUUUCAAGUCUUAGUUAAGUCUUUAAUGCAUUUUUGAAUUGAUAAUUGUGUGUAGUGUAAGAUGAGGUUUCAAUUUCAUUCUUCUGCAUGUGGAUAUCAAGUUUUCCCAAUACCAUUUUUGAAGAAACUACUUUCCUCAAUGUGUAUUAUUGGCACUUUCUUGAAGAUAGGUUGACCAAACAUGUGUGACUUUAUUUCUGGGAUCUCUAUUCUGUUCUAUUUGUCCACAUGCUUGUCUUUAUGUCAAUACCAUAGUGCUUUAAUUACUGAAGUUUUGUAAUAUAUUUUGAGAUCAGGUAGUCUACUCUCUCCAGCUUUUUUUUUUCCUUCUCAAUAUGCUUUGGCCAUUCUGGGUCUUUUGUGGUUACAUAUGAAUUUCAGGAUUUUUUUCUAUUUUUAUAUAAAAGCUAUUGGGACUUUGAUGUAGAUAGCAUUUAUUCUGUAGAUCAUUUGGGGGUGUAUAAAUAUGUUAAUAGAUAUUCCAAUUCAUAACAAUAAAU
rnacentral:lncRNA from 13 species